ACAUUUGCUUUAUUGUGCCUAUCCAGAGCUCCACCCCCUUUUUGAAAUAUCACAGCCUAUUGUUGUUUUAGGCUCAGUUUGUUUUACGGAAAAUAUUUGCCUAAAAAACAUUUUUCGUAUUUUCUGUUGUCUGGGAACACUCAGGAAAAUUGGUCAAUGAAAAGUAUUUUUCAUUUUUCUGGUCAAAGGAAAAUUAAGUCAUUUCUAAGGAAAAUGGCUUUCAUUUUUUAAAAGAGAAUGUUAUUUUCUAUUUUCUAAAUUUUGAAAAUCUUAUUAAAAUGUGAACACACUUAUACAUAUAUGAGAUAAAUAAGUAUUAUUAAUUUAAUAUUACAACCAGAAAAUAUUUUUAUGGAAAAUAUUUUUUUGGAAAA
rnacentral:misc_RNA from 1 species